rnacentral:rRNA from 1 species
AUUGAACGCUGGCGGCAUGCCUUACACAUGCAAGUCGAACGGCAGCACGGGAGCUUGCUCCUGGUGGCGAGUGGCGAACGGGUGAGUAAUGCAUCGGAACGUGCCCUGAAGUGGGGGAUAACGUAGCGAAAGUUACGCUAAUACCGCAUAUUCUGUGAGCAGGAAAGCAGGGGAUCUUCGGACCUUGCGCUUUUGGAGCGGCCGAUGUCGGAUUAGCUAGUUGGUGGGGUAAAGGCCCACCAAGGCGACGAUCCGUAGCGGGUCUGAGAGGAUGAUCCGCCACACUGGAACUGAGACACGGUCCAGACUCCUACGGGAGGCAGCAGUGGGGAAUUUUGGACAAUGGGCGCAAGCCUGAUCCAGCCAUGCCGCGUGAGUGAAGAAGGCCUCGGUUGUAAGCUCUUCGGUGGGAAGGAAGUUAGCUUGGGUUAAUACCCUGAGUAGAUGACGGUACCGU